rfam:Schistosoma curassoni strain Dakar, Senegal genome assembly, scaffold: SCTD_scaffold0008915
AUCCAGCUGAUGAUUCCCAAAUAGGAUGAAACGCGUGUCAAACCGGAU